rnacentral:misc_RNA from 1 species
AUGCUAACAGAAAAGGGAAUCCAAAUUCAUUAUAUAUAAGGGGCUAUCUCAGCAGCAAGGGAAGAAAUAUAUUUUGUUGAAAAUUACAGCUACAAGCUGGGGUUAGCUUUGCUAGCAAGGGAAUUGAUUUCCUGGGGGUUGUUUAACAAUUUUCUUUGUUUGCUUGUUCCUGUUGAAUUUAACUGUAACAAUAUUUUUUCUGUUGUUUAACAACCUCAACUGCUCUGUUAGUUACCAAAUUUUGUUAAUCAUAUUUUUGUGUGAUCAUUCACAAAACCCUUAAUUCUACUACCAGCUAAGCAGCAAAGAUCCUUUCGAACCAACUUUACUUUUCCUCAGACCAUAUUUUCAAUUAACUGAAUUGUUAAAAUUCUCCAAUUUGUUAUAGGAUACUCCAAAAUAGUCCUUUUAUUCCAUGAUAACUGGUUGGUGCACUUUUCUUCAAACAAUUACCCAAGAAAGAUAUUCUUCAUGAAAUUUCCAUAGCACUUCUCCAUUCCGUUUGGUAUAUUAUAUGAUUGACAAUUUCAACCCACAUCUCCAUGAAAACUUUCAUGCUCUCUACAUUGCUAUGAUUAUAACAAACCAAUGCUUUGCAUAAUAAAUACCUACCAAAAAUAAAGAACCAAGAUUUGCAAUUUAUGAUACAAUAUUUCAAUAACUAAAGAUCAGUACACAGUUCCUUCAAGAUGGAAUAAUCAUUAUGUUACUAGGAAUCCAGAAAUUGAGAAUUUUUAGAACAGCAAUACCAUGCCUGAGAAAUAGUAAAAGUAAGCAAGAAACAACAAAAUGCAAACAUCCUAUUAGUAAGUUUUUAAGCAUCUUUCCUGAAUUGCCUUAGACAAAAUCCAUCUAAAUCCAACAAAUAUAAUAUAUUCGUUCUGGGUUCCACAAAACCUUGCUGCAAGAUUACUCUUGCAAAACUUUGCUGUUUGAUUACCAAGGCUUCAACAUUGUUCUCUGAUACCUGAACAAAAUUGUCACAAAUAACAAAAAAAACUCCGCCCAUACGAACUUAGCAAAACAUGACUAGUCCUAAGGCCAGAUAAAGGA